GUGUAUGUCUUCCCUAGCAGGCAGAGAAACAAACAGCACAAACUAAGCUUGACCUUGUUGGAAAUACAGUUUAUCCACAGAGUGAAUGUUGGCUAAAAUUUAAUCUUAUGACAUCAGGAAUGUUCAAAGUUUACACAGGAGGGCCACUGUCAUAAGGACGCCUGGAAGAGUGAAGAAAGGCCUGAUUGAUCACAAGGUCCUAUCAAAUGUCAAAGCUGGCCCUGGCUGACCUCCCAUCUAUUCAGAGCUGCUUUGAUUUAAUCUCCAAACUGGCUGCUUCUCCAGGCUGUGAGUUCUAUCUGCAACCCAUGUGUCAGCAUUGAGAUAUGACCUGCUUCACGCUCCAUUCAUCUCAUUUGAAGGACGGAAAUUAAACUCGAGGGUCGAAGAGGGGAACUGCUCAAAAUACACACACACAUUAACUGAAGCCUUUUGUAGAAGAGAAUUGAAAAUUUCAAGAAGGCAAAGGUGAUGGAAGUGUCUUCAUGAGACCCUUGGGUAACAUAAAUUGGCAAAGAAUUGGAUGAUCUGGGUUCUAAGAUCUGGCCUUAAAACUAGCCAUCUAUUGACUGAGCUGGAGUGCAGUGGUGCAAUUAUGGAUCGAGGUUAACUGCAGUCUCAACUUCUCAACCUUGUGAAUUCAAGCAAUCCUCCCACCUCAGCCUCCCAAGUAGCCGGAACUACAGGCAUUUAACACCACAUCCAGCUAAUUUUUAAAAAAAUAUUUUGUAGAGACCGGGUCUCACCCUGUUGCCCAAGCUGAUCUCAAACUCCAUGGUUCGACCUCCUGAUGCCCAAAUCCUGGAAUUACAGGCAUAAGCCUCUGCACCUGGCUGCUUUCUUCCUCUCAAGAGCUUUUCAGAAUUCAAAUGUUUGUUUCCUGGUUUCUUAGAGUAAACACAGCAAGUAUUCAUGAUAAAUGAAGGCACUAUGGAAGGAAACAACGCUAGCUGUGCUGUCAGAGAAAAAUUGAAAAAAAGUGGCGAUGCAAAAUUUCCAACAUGUAAAUAUUUUCUUUCAUAUGCAGGCAGAAAAUGG
rnacentral:lncRNA from 1 species